rnacentral:lncRNA from 1 species
AUGUGCUCUGUCCAUUGUAAUGGACAAAUUGUAAAUGCUAGGUGGGUGUUAAAGGACUGGAUGGAGGACCGGGACCAUGGGAGGAAGAGCAGGCAGGCUGCAGGAGAGGAAGGAGGAAGGAACCACAGGAGGGGGUGUGGCGUGAGGCUGAAGGAAACCACAGGUAUCUGUUGGACAGGAAAGAGAAACCAGAUACAGCUUCCUGGGCAAUGGAACUUCAGAGACAAGCACAGAGUUUGCUGGCAACUCCAGGAGGCUGAAGCCACCGGUCCCGCAGCCUUUGGGGAACCAAGCAAAUCAGUCCUUAGGACAGACGACUCAGGCAAACCAGCCAGCACCACUGCCAGCAGCACAAAACAAGCUUUCAGACCCACAUGAGAAGACAAGAUUGUAAUGCCUCCGUGACAACAUUGCCUUAUUGAUGCAAG